rnacentral:rRNA from 1 species
AGGAAUCUGCCUAUUAGUGGGGGACAACAUCUCGAAAGGGAUGCUAAUACCGCAUACGUCCUACGGGAGAAAGCAGGGGACCUUCGGGCCUUGCGCUAAUAGAUGAGCCUAAGUCGGAUUAGCUAGUUGGUGGGGUAAAGGCCUACCAAGGCGACGAUCUGUAGCGGGUCUGAGAGGAUGAUCCGCCACACUGGGACUGAGACACGGCCCAGACUCCUACGGGAGGCAGCAGUGGGGAAUAUUGGACAAUGGGGGGAACCCUGAUCCAGCCAUGCCGCGUGUGUGGAGAAGGCCUUUUGGUUGUAAAGCACUUUAAGCGAGGAGGAGGCUACCGAGAUUAAUGCUCUUGGAUAGUGGACGUUACUCGCAGAAUAAGCACCGGCUAACUCUGUGCCAGCAGCCGCGGUAAUACAGAGGGUGCAAGCGUUAAUCGGAUUUACUGGGCGUAAAGCGCGCGUAGGUGGCCAAUUAAGUCAAAUGUGAAAUCCCCGAGCUUAACUUGGGAAUUGCAUUCGAUACUGGUUGGCUAGAGUAUGGGAGAGGAUGGUAGAAUUCCAGGU